rnacentral:rRNA from 1 species
GACGAACGCUGGCGGCGUGCUUAACACAUGCAAGUCGAACGGAAAGGCCUGUCCUUCCUUGUGUUGGACGGGUACUCGAGUGGCGAACGGGUGAGUAACACGUGAGUGAUCUGCCCCCAACUUGGGUAUAAGCCUGGGAAACUGGGUCUAAUUCCCGAUAGGACUGCAGGGUGGUGCCUGUGGUGGAAAACGAUUUUCUAGUGGUUGGGGAUGAGCUCGCGGCCUAUCAGCUUGUUGGUGGGGUAAUGGCCUACCAAGGCGGCGACGGGUAGCCGGCCUGAGAGGGUGGACGGCCACAUUGGGACUGAGAUACGGCCCAGACUCCUACGGGAGGCAGCAGUGGGGAAUAGUGCACAAUGGGCGGAAGCCUGAUGCAGCGACGCCGCGUGGGGGAUGACGGCCUUCGGGUUGUAAACUCCUUUCGACCGCGAGGAAGCCGCCUGGUUGGAAGGGUGGUGACGGUAGUGGUAGAAGAAGCACUGGCUAACUACGUG